rnacentral:rRNA from 1 species
UACGGAGGGUGCGAGCGUUGUCCGGAAUCACUGGGCGUAAAGGGCGCGUAGGCGGCAGGCCAAGCGUGCGGUGAAAGUCCGGGGCUCAACCCCGGAUCUGCCGUGCGGACUGGUUUGCUAGAGCACUGUAGAGGCGAGUGGAAUUCCGGGUGUAGCGGUGGAAUGCGUAGAUAUCUGGAGGAACACCGGUGGCGAAGGCGGCAUCCUGGACCGAUACUGACGCUGAGGAGCGAAAGCCAGGGGAGCAAACGGG